rnacentral:rRNA from 1 species
UACGGAGGGUGCGAGCGUUAAUCGGAAUUACUGGGCGUAAAGGGUUUGUAGGUGGCUUGCUAAGUCAGACGUGAAAUCCUUCAGCUUAACUGGGGAACUGCGUCUGAUACUGGCGAGCUUGAGUGCAGGAGAGGAACGCGGAAUUCCAGGUGUAGCGGUGAAAUGCGUAGAUAUCUGGAGGAACACCGGUGGCGAAGGCGGCGUUCUGGACUGUAACUGACACUGAGAAACGAAAGCCAGGGUAGCAAACGGG